AGAUAAUGGCUUAAGCUUUGUUUCUUCUUGUGCUUCCCUCUGCAGAAAUGCCCUGCCUUAGUCACCCAAAAGAUUCAGUUUGGGGUAGCAGAGAGGAGGGGGAGCAAGGACCUCACACAAGAACUGGCCUAAACUCUGAGGAGCUGUAAAGCCAAUGGGAACACGAUGCAGACAAAGUUGAACAUGACUUGACUGUGCUGGGGUUCCUGAAGAUAACAACCUGUGUCCAGUGUGGUGGGACUGAGGCCUUCAUCCAGUUUGGUCCCCUCUAAACCCCCCCAUUUCAGCGUGCAGGGAGCAUGCCCUGCAGUACAGGCUCUCUGUGGUAUUCCCUGAAAUCCCUUCAGCAGUGCAUUUGCUGGAAAAUGCCAAGGCUUGGAAUUUAUCAGCCUGAAAAAACUGCUCACCAGUCUUGUGGUUUGUGGAUGAGGAUCAGAACCCAUUGCUCUGUCCAUGGGAGGGAAGGCACUGAUCACUGGAAUUUGGAAAUGUAUUGA
rnacentral:lncRNA from 1 species